GACGAACGCUGGCGGCGUGCCUAAUACAUGCAAGUAGAACGCAGUUGCGAACGGGUGAGUAACGCGUAGGUAACUGCCUGGUAGCGGGGGAUAACUAUUGGAAACGAUAGCUAAUACCGCAUACUACCAGAUGGACAUGCGUUGUAUUAGCUAGUUGGUGGGGUAACUGCUCACCAAGGCAACGAUACAUAGCCGACCUGAGAGGGUUAUCUGCCCCACUGGGCCUGAUACACGGCCCAGACUCCUACGGGUGGCAGCAGUAGGGAAUCUUCGGCCAUGGACGGAAGUCUGACCGAGCAACUCCGCGUGAGUGAAGAAGGUUUUCGGAUUGUAAAGCUCUUUUUUAUGAGAAGCGGUAUCUUACCAGAAAGGUACGGCUAACUACGUGCCAGCAGCCGCGGUAAUAC
rnacentral:rRNA from 1 species